CUUCAUUCUAAAGGAAGACACUGAGUUGUUAGAGGUGAGGGAGUUGACUCAGUGGCCUGGCAGCAGGAUUUGAUGAUGUGAUCUGCAGUGCUCCAGGUGUCCUGGUGACUGAGGAUGUCCAGGUUUGAGAAUAAAGACAAAAAUACAUCACACGUGACUGGAAGUGUGUAUUUUUCAGAGGGACAUCUCCACAGAGGUGAACCAGAACUGCCUUUAUUACAGCUGGCUGACAAGGCUCACAAAGCACGGCAGGUCUUUGGGAUCAGGAGAGAAGUCAUGGAGGACGUAGUUGGUCUCCUUGCAGCCCCUUCCACAUGGCCAUGGGUAUCCCUCUGCUGGAUUCAGCACAGCGUCCAUUCAGUGUGUGGAUGAACCUCUGUUGUUACCAAGAACAGAAAACUUGAAAUCAUCCAGAACUCCUUAUGUUCACCACAACUGAAGCAACUGCAGACAGCAAUGCUGAACUGUCAAACCAGAUUAUAGAAAAAAGCAAAGAAGAUACGUCUCUUUGGUAA
rnacentral:lncRNA from 1 species